rnacentral:rRNA from 1 species
UACGAAGGGGGCAAGCGUUGUUCGGAAUGACUGGGCGUAAAGGGCGUGUAGGCGGUUUAAUAAGUUUGGUGUGAAAUGCCUAGGCUUAACCUAGGAACGGCACUGAAGACUGUUAAACUAGAGGACGAGAGAGGAAAAUGGAAUUGCGCGUGUAGAGGUGAAAUUCGUAGAUAUGCGCAAGAACACCAGUGGCGAAGGCGAUUUUCUGGCUCGUAACUGACGCUGAGACGCGAAAGCGUGGGGAGCAAACAGG